ACUAAGCGUACACGGUGGAUGCCCUGGCAGUCAGAGGCGAUGAAGGACGUGCUAAUCUGCGAUAAGCGUCGGUAAGGUGAUAUGAACCGUUAUAACCGGCGAUUUCCGAAUGGGGAAACCCAGUGUGUUUCGACACACUAUCAUUAACUGAAUCCAUAGGUUAAUGAGGCGAACCGGGGGAACUGAAACAUCUAAGUACCCCGAGGAAAAGAAAUCAACCGAGAUUCCCCCAGUAGCGGCGAGCGAACGGGGAGCAGCCCAGAGCCUGAAUCAGUGUGUGUGUUAGUGGAAGCGUCUGGAAAGGCGCGCGAUACAGGGUGACAGCCCCGUACACAAAAAUGCACAUGCUGUGAGCUCGAUGAGUAGGGCGGGACACGUGGUAUCCUGUCUGAAUAUGGGGGGACCAUCCUCCAAGGCUAAAUACUCCUGACUGACCGAUAGUGAACCAGUACCGUGAGGGAAAGGCGAAAAGAACCCCGGCGAGGGGAGUGAAAAAGAACCUGAAACCGUGUACGUACAAGCAGUGGGAGCACGCUUAGGCGUGUGACUGCGUACCUUUUGUAUAAUGGGUCAGCGACUUAUAUUCUGUAGCAAGGUUAACCGAAUAGGGGAGCCGAAGGGAAACCGAGUCUUAACUGGGCGUUAAGUUGCAGGGUAUAGACCCGAAACCCGGUGAUCUAGCCAUGGGCAGGUUGAAGGUUGGGUAACACUAACUGGAGGACCGAACCGACUAAUGUUGAAAAAUUAGCGGAUGACUUGUGGCUGGGGGUGAAAGGCCAAUCAAACCGGGAGAUAGCUGGUUCUCCCCGAAAGCUAUUUAGGUAGCGCCUCGUGAAUUCAUCUCCGGGGGUAGAGCACUGUUUCGGCAAGGGGGUCAUCCCGACUUACCAACCCGAUGCAAACUGCGAAUACCGGAGAAUGUUAUCACGGGAGACACACGGCGGGUGCUAACGUCCGUCGUGAAGAGGGAAACAACCCAGACCGCCAGCUAAGGUCCCAAAGUCAUGGUUAAGUGGGAAACGAUGUGGGAAGGCCCAGACAGCCAGGAUGUUGGCUUAGAAGCAGCCAUCAUUUAAAGAAAGCGUAAUAGCUCACUGGUCGAGUCGGCCUGCGCGGAAGAUGUAACGGGGCUAAACCAUGCACCGAAGCUGCGGCAGCGACGCUUAUGCGUUGUUGGGUAGGGGAGCGUUCUGUAAGCCUGCGAAGGUGUGCUGUGAGGCAUGCUGGAGGUAUCAGAAGUGCGAAUGCUGACAUAAGUAACGAUAAAGCGGGUGAAAAGCCCGCUCGCCGGAAGACCAAGGGUUCCUGUCCAACGUUAAUCGGGGCAGGGUGAGUCGACCCCUAAGGCGAGGCCGAAAGGCGUAGUCGAUGGGAAACAGGUUAAUAUUCCUGUACUUGGUGUUACUGCGAAGGGGGGACGGAGAAGGCUAUGUUGGCCGGGCGACGGUUGUCCCGGUUUAAGCGUGUAGGCUGGUUUUCCAGGCAAAUCCGGAAAAUCAAGGCUGAGGCGUGAUGACGAGGCACUACGGUGCUGAAGCAACAAAUGCCCUGCUUCCAGGAAAAGCCUCUAAGCAUCAGGUAACAUCAAAUCGUACCCCAAACCGACACAGGUGGUCAGGUAGAGAAUACCAAGGCGCUUGAGAGAACUCGGGUGAAGGAACUAGGCAAAAUGGUGCCGUAACUUCGGGAGAAGGCACGCUGAUAUGUAGGUGAAGUGAUUUACUCAUGGAGCUGAAAUCAGUCGAAGAUACCAGCUGGCUGCAACUGUUUAUUAAAAACACAGCACUGUGCAAACACGAAAGUGGACGUAUACGGUGUGACGCCUGCCCGGUGCCGGAAGGUUAAUUGAUGGGGUUAGCGCAAGCGAAGCUCUUGAUCGAAGCCCCGGUAAACGGCGGCCGUAACUAUAACGGUCCUAAGGUAGCGAAAUUCCUUGUCGGGUAAGUUCCGACCUGCACGAAUGGCGUAAUGAUGGCCAGGCUGUCUCCACCCGAGACUCAGUGAAAUUGAACUCGCUGUGAAGAUGCAGUGUACCCGCGGCAAGACGGAAAGACCCCGUGAACCUUUACUAUAGCUUGACACUGAACAUUGAGCCUUGAUGUGUAGGAUAGGUGGGAGGCUUUGAAGUGUGGACGCCAGUCUGCAUGGAGCCGACCUUGAAAUACCACCCUUUAAUGUUUGAUGUUCUAACGUGGACCCGUAAUCCGGGUUGCGGACAGUGUCUGGUGGGUAGUUUGACUGGGGCGGUCUCCUCCUAAAGAGUAACGGAGGAGCACGAAGGUUGGCUAAUCCUGGUCGGACAUCAGGAGGUUAGUGCAAUGGCAUAAGCCAGCUUGACUGCGAGCGUGACGGCGCGAGCAGGUGCGAAAGCAGGUCAUAGUGAUCCGGUGGUUCUGAAUGGAAGGGCCAUCGCUCAACGGAUAAAAGGUACUCCGGGGAUAACAGGCUGAUACCGCCCAAGAGUUCAUAUCGACGGCGGUGUUUGGCACCUCGAUGUCGGCUCAUCACAUCCUGGGGCUGAAGUAGGUCCCAAGGGUAUGGCUGUUCGCCAUUUAAAGUGGUACGCGAGCUGGGUUUAGAACGUCGUGAGACAGUUCGGUCCCUAUCUGCCGUGGGCGCUGGAGAACUGAGGGGGGCUGCUCCUAGUACGAGAGGACCGGAGUGGACGCAUCACUGGUGUUCGGGUUGUCAUGCCAAUGGCACUGCCCGGUAGCUAAAUGCGGAAGAGAUAAGUGCUGAAAGCAUCUAAGCACGAAACUUGCCCCGAGAUGAGUUCUCCCUGACCCUUUAAGGGUCCUGAAGGAACGUUGAAGACGACGACGUUGAUAGGCCGGGUGUGUAAGCGCAGCGAUGCGUUGAGCUAACCGGUACUAAUGAACCGUGAGGCUUAACC
rnacentral:rRNA from 1 species